rfam:Asian citrus Psyllid, Diaphorina citri - Florida Strain, whole genome shotgun sequence.
GUUCCAGGUACGGUGAUAUGGUCCCGGAGACCAUAGCCGGGAAAAUAGUGGGGGGUGUUUGCUCCCUAAGCGGGGUGUUGGUCAUAGCUCUUCCAGUACCAGUCAUUGUCUCUAAC